CGAGGGAAACAUAUAACUACUAUUCGAGUUGUGCAUGGGUUCAACCAAUAAGAUGUUGGCAAAAAUUAAAUUGUCUUUCAGUGAUAUCAUCUUGAAUCUAGACAUGAUUAUGGCAAGAUUCAUUAUGGAUAAACUUGAGGGGAGACAACCCUCAUACAGUUACGCCAAAACUUACACUUAAAGGAUCAAGGAUUUUAAUAUGCUCGUUAGCUAUCAACUUCCCACAUUUCAACAAUUCGAUGAGAAAGGCAAUCCAAGACAACACAUCGCCCACUUCGUGAAAACAUGCAAUGAUGCUGGGACAUAUGGAGAUCUUCUCAUUAAGUAGUUCGUCCGCUCUUUAAAGGGCACUGCCUUCCAUUAGUACAUCGACUUGGAGUCCGGUUGCAUUGAUUGCUGGCAUGAUAUGGAGUGCGAGUUCUUGACCCGCUUCUACAUCACAAGGAGGAUUGUCAGCUUCUUAGAACUCACCACCACCCGCGAAAAGAAGGGUGAGCGUGAAAUCGCAUAUAUUGAAGGAUGGGGAGAGUUGUGCUUGAAUUGCAAGGAAAAGGUAUCACAGAGCUCCGUGAUUGAAAUGUGCAUCUAAGGUAUGCACUUCGAGCUCUCCUACAUCCUUCAAGGACUCAAGCCUAAGACCUUUGAAGAAUUGAAUUAUCUAGUCGCGCCCACGAUAUGGAGUUAAGCGUAACAGCUAAUGGUGGACAAAACAUACCUAUCUAAAUCUUCUACAAUGGGGCAAGAGUCGUGAUGUUGAAAAUGGGGGCAAAUCAUUUAAGAAAUACAAAAGCAUGGAUGUUAUGCAUGUGAAUACCCAAUCAGCUAGGAUAUUCACUGAAACUGCUAGUGAGUGUAAGGAUGUUUCUAGGUCAUCGCGAGACAAUAGAAGGCAUUCUCUAAGGGAAAGUCAAAACAAGCAGUGUCCAUUCUUGGAUUUAGAUGUCUUACCUAUGUUUGAUGAGUUCUUAAAGCAUAAUCUCAUUGGCUUGCCCGAAAUCAGGCGGCGACAUGUGGCGUAAAAAGUCGAUGAUCCGAAUUAUUGCAAGUACCAUAGAUUUGUCAGACAUCCAAUUGAAAAGUGUUUUAUCUUCAAGGAUAAAGUAAUGGAGUUAGCUCGGGAGCUGAGGGAAUAAUUGAACUUGUUGAUACCACAACAUGUGCCAAUCAAGUUUCCAUCCCAUGCAACAAAUCUACUUCACUAAUUGAGAAGAACAAGGGGAAGGGAAAUGAGAAACGACAUAAGUCUUCAUUCCUCUUAACAUCAAGUCCUAUGAUGCAAAACCUAAACAUGGUACUUGUCUUGAUGUUAAGCAUGCUAAACAAAGAGUUUGUGAUAUAACACAAUCGCCUAUGCAAGUUAUGAGGUGGGUUAAGAGAAAGGUGUUGAAAGACCCUAUAGAUGAGAAGGCUUGCAACUAUCAUACGAAGACACAAAUCCCAAAUCAUAUUGGCGGAUUACAUGCCAAAGCAAUUCUACACAACAACUAACCAAGGGAUGAAGAUGAAGAUGAGAUUCCUCAUAUCAACACAUAUGGUGGAGACGAAUGUGCCUCGUCAUAUUAUACCACUACAUAUGCUGAAGACCCAUUAAAUGGUGCAAUUAUUCACAACAAGUAGCAAAUGAAGCAUUUUGGAUCAACUUUGGAAGCAAGGAUCCCACUCAAGGAAAGAUAGGAGAAGCGGAGCACGAAUCGGAGCAAAGUUCAUUUUAGGAUGCACCUACACGGCCACCCACACGACUCGUGUCGGUGGUCGUGUCUCCCUGCUGCCUUUGUUCUAUGCGCAACACCUACAUGGCCCAUGUAGGUGGCCGUGCAGCUCUACUGAACAAUAGUAUUUUAUCGUUUUUGCUGCAAUUUUUGGGAAGUUCGAACCCUCGAUAAUCUUAGCUCAUUUUCCUUCAUUUCCACAAACUUUGAUAGCUUAGAUUAGCUUAGUAUUAGACUACCUACACACGUUUAAGUCUCUUUAUUGCGGAUUGGUGUGGAUUUUAACCACUAAUUUCAUCACUUUUAAUAGAGAAGUUCAUUUACUCUUU